AAAUUAGAAUCACCAUCAUAACUGAAAACUACAUUCAGAAAUAUAGUUUACAACAUGUUUAGUAGAUUCAUAAAAUAUUAUAUCUUGAAAACAAACUACGAUUGUCUGAUUACAUCAUAAAACAAAAAAAAUCAAAUUCUAAGUCCAGGAGUUUGGAACUGAUCUUCUGAUGCUAAUUUUCAUGUCUCAUGUUCCUCCAGCUGCUAAAAAAAUAAUAAUAAUUGGGAUGAGAUAAAAUAUCUCAGUG
rnacentral:lncRNA from 1 species